UUUUUCUUCAUUGCAGUGAUAUUCGACCCUUACCCACACCUAUCCGAACUAGAUCUAAGCUACCCACAUAUAAGUGAAGUUGUUUUGUAGUAACGGAUAGCAAAACGAAGUCGUUGGAAGUUGUUUCGAUGCGUUCCUCUGCUGCAAAACGUGGACAGCAGCAGUUUCAUGGUGUUUGGUCCUUAUCCACACCCGUUCGAAGCCCGAUUUACGUUACCCACCCUUGCUCGAGUUAGAUAAGAGUUACCCACACCUAAGCGAAGUCGUUUUGUAGUAACGGAUAGCAAAACGAAGUCGUUGGAAGUUGUUUCGAUGCGUUCCUCUGCUGCAAAACGUGGACAGCAGCAGUUUCGUGGUGUUUGGCACUUACCCACACCCGUUUGAAACCCGAUCUACGUUACCCACCCUUGCUCGAGUUAGAUAUGAGUUACCCACACUCAAACGAAAUCGUUUUUGUGGUGCCGAAUCAACCGAAGAAUUAGGAACAUUGAGAGUGGUAAGUAGUUCUUACUUGGGGGAUGUUUGUUGUAUGAAUAUGUAUGAAUUGUUUGGUGCUUUCGGUAUGUUUAUUAUUUAUUAAUAUGUAAGUUGAUUGUGUCUUAGUGAAUAUUGGCUAAUGAUUAUAACUAGUUGAAUGAAAUCAUGUUGGUUCUGGUUGUUUAUAAUUGAUUUGCUUUGCGUUGUUGGAUUUGAUGCUUAGUGAGAUUU